rnacentral:rRNA from 1 species
AUUGAACGCUGGCGGCAUGCUUUACACAUGCAAGUCGGACGGCAGCACAGAGAAGCUUGCUUCUUGGGUGGCGAGUGGCGAACGGGUGAGUAAUAUAUCGGAACGUACCGAGUAAUGGGGGAUAACUAAUCGAAAGAUUAGCUACUACCGCAUAUUCUCUGAGGAGGAAAGCAGGGGACCUUCGGGCCUUGCGUUAUUCGAGCGGCCGAUAUCUGAUUAGCUAGUUGGUGGGGUAAAGGCCUACCAAGGCGACGAUCAGUAGCGGGUCUGAGAGGAUGAUCCGCCACACUGGGACUGAGACACGGCCCAGACUCCUACGGGAGGCAGCAGUGGGGAAUUUUGGACAAUGGGCGCAAGCCUGAUCCAGCCAUGCCGCGUGUCUGAAGAAGGCCUUCGGGUUGUAAAGGACUUUUGUCAGGGAAGAAAAGGCUGUUGCUAAUACCGACAGCUGAUGACGGUACCUGAAGAAUAAGCACCGGCUAACUACGUG